CCUACGGGAGGCAGCAGUGAGGAAUAUUGGUCAAUGGACGCAAGUCUGAACCAGCCAUGCCGCGUGCAGGAAGACGGCUCUAUGAGUUGUAAACUGCUUUUGUACGAGGGUAAACGCAGGUACGCGUACCUGUCUGAAAGUAUCGUACGAAUAAGGAUCGGCUAACUCCGUGCCAGCAGCCGCGGUAAUACGGAGGAUUCAAGCGUUAUCCGGAUUUAUUGGGUUGAAAGGGUGCGUAGGCGGUCGGAUAAGUUAGAGGUGAAAUCCCGAGGCUCAACUGCGGAAUUGCCUUUGAUACUGGUCGUCUAGAGAGUAGUUGCGGUAGGCGGAAUGCAUGGUGUAGCGGUGAAAUGCUUAGAGAUCAUACAGAACACCGAUUGCGAAGGCAGCUUACCAAGCUACUUCUGACGUUGAGGCACGAAAGCGUGGGGAGCAAACAGGAUUAGAUACCCUUGUAGUC
rnacentral:rRNA from 1 species